UACGUAGGGUGCGAGCGUUAAUCGGAAUUACUGGGCGUAAAGCGUGCGCAGGCGGUUCGCUAAGACCGAUGUGAAAUCCCCGGGCUUAACCUGGGAACUGCAUUGGUGACUGGCGGGCUAGAGUAUGGCAGAGGGGGGUAGAAUUCCUGGUGUAGCAGUGAAAUGCGUAGAUAUCAGGAGGAACAUCGAUGGCGAAGGCAGCCCCCUGGGCCUGUACUGACGCUCAUGCACGAAAGCGUGGGGAGCAAACAGG
rnacentral:rRNA from 1 species